AUUGAGUCUCACAAGCUGACGUUCCGUGCGAAGGCCAAGGCUCGAACAGACCACGGAGCGGAAAUCGUCGUCUCCAAACCCCCCACCCUUUCCAGCAGCACCUGCCCCCGGCGUAGCACCUCCGCCAGCGACAGCGACAGCCUGGGCUCCGUCGCCUCCCCGUCACCGCCGCCGGCCGCGCCCUCCCAGCAAGGCUUGUGACCCCCGGCCCCGCUCCGCGCCCCGGGGACCCCAGCUUGGCUCUCUUAACGCGGUUCUGGCUUUAGGUGGGAAGGGGCCGAUGUUCCUCGGGCCCGCCCGGGCUGGGGUCCCUCGGCGGCCGGGCAGGGCUCCCCUCCCUCCCUCCCUCCCGGUCCUGCCCUCCCGCUGGCCCGGGACUCGCGGGGGUUGCUGCGCCUCGGGGCCGGCCCGAGCGGCUCCGGCUGUGCCAGGGCAGGGCAGAGCAGAGCCCUGGGGGCGGGGCCAGGCCGAGUUAACAGGGAUAAGCUGUGAUCUUUCUCUCUGUCUCUUUUUUUAACCUCCUCCCUCCUCGCCGCUUCAGUUUCUGCCGCCUGUGGGAUGCUGAUAAAUCCCCUCCACACUCGUUAGGCUGUUUUAACUGUUGACUUGAACCUUUUAUUCUUUGUGACGAAGUGUUGAUGAUUUAUCGUGUUCGAACCCGUGCUAAGUUUCCUUUUCUCUUUCCUUCUUUUCCGACCCGUAGGAGAGUAGGGACAUUUAACCGCUGCUGCCGUGCUGGCUACUUACUGACAUAUCCAGCCGUUGUAACUUCUUUGUUGUUGUUUGGGGUUUUUUCUUUUUAAUAUUUUAAAACGAUGGAGCGAGUUCAUGGGAUUAAGCCAUGUCCGGAACGAAAGGCACAGGAAUGUGUAAAGGGCAAACUUGCUGUGACAGCUCAGGUGGAGCCUGUGUUGACCUCGAGAUGUGUAAUUGAUGCUCGAGAUGUGUUAAUUGAUGCUCGCGAGCCCUCCCCGGGUGCCUUCUGCCGAGGUGGUUUAUUUAUUAACGGCACGGCCGAGCCCUGGGAUUUGUCCCGUUUUUCCAAGGCGAGGCUGGAGGGAGCAGGAGGCGGCCGUGGCGGGGGCCGAGCGGCCUCCAGGCUCAGGGGAAAUGUCCCCCAAGGCCUCGUGGCCCUCGGAGCCGGCGGGUGGGGCGGAAGAGGCUCCGGGCGGCGGCAGCAGCAGCAGCAUGGAAAGGGCUCUGAGGGCCUCCGGCUCUCCCUCCUCCCUCCCCGCCUGAGCCCCAGCCCGGCAGCGCUCACCUUCCGCCCUCCUCGCACGGGUCCCGCCGGCCGAGAUCACACACGAGGCCCCAGCGCCCCUCGCCGUCCCCGCCCGGCCGCCCGCAGCCCCCGCUGUCCCUCACGCAGAGCACCGAGCCAGGAGCGAGCGCAGUGACCGCGGGCUGGGGGCGUGCGGCCGGGCAGGAGGGCUCGGGGCAGCGCCCCGAGGGCGAUCCCGGCCCUCGGCUUCCUCCGUGGUCUCGGGAAGCCACUCAACCUCUCUGCCUCAGUUUCCCCAUCUGCAAAGGUGGGGGGGAUUCAAUUUUACCUCACCGGGCUGUUGUGAGGCGCGAGCAGCGCGUGACGUGUUCUCUAAAUGUGAUGUGUUAUUAUUAUUUUGUGUCAUAGGAUUAUUGGAUUAUUCUGCAGGGCGUGCCCGAGGAGGGGGGACUCCGCUGUCCCUGCGCCGUGGUGGGGCAGGCGAGGGCUGGGAGGGGAGGUCAGUGCUCGGUGUGAGGCAGCAGCUCAGGGGGAGCCCAGCGGUUGCUUCUGCCUUUGUGUCUCCCCUCCCCGGGGGCUGUACGAGCGUCGUCUCCUUAGCAACAUUUCCUGACUUGAUGUUGUGAUUCUUACUAUUGUAAAGGGUUGAAAUAAAGCUUCUAGAUGUUCCUCCUCAGGCUGCUGUGGCUCUGUGGGGCGGGAGGGCCGGGCGGGGGGCGCUGGCACAGCCCGGGGCUCCUGAUGUGGGGCUGGCUGAGGAAGGCGCUGAAGGAAUUUGGGUGUCU
rnacentral:lncRNA from 1 species